rnacentral:rRNA from 1 species
AGCGAACGCUGGCGGCAGGCUUAACACAUGCAAGUCGAACGCCCCGCAAGGGGAGUGGCAGACGGGUGAGUAACACGUGGGAACGUACCCUUUGGUUCGGAAUAACUUGGGGAAACUCAAGCUAAUACCGGAUAAGCCCUAACGGGGAAAGGUUUACUGCCGAAGGAUCGGCCCGCGUCUGAUUAGCUAGUUGGUGAGGUAAUGGCUCACCAAGGCGACGAUCAGUAGCUGGUCUGAGAGGAUGAUCAGCCACACUGGGACUGAGACACGGCCCAGACUCCUACGGGAGGCAGCAGUGGGGAAUAUUGGACAAUGGGGGCAACCCUGAUCCAGCCAUGCCGCGUGAGUGAUGAAGGCCUUAGGGUUGUAAAGCUCUUUUACCCGGGACGAUAAUGACUGUACCGGGAGAAUAAGCCCCGGCUAACUCCGUGCCAGCCGCCGCUGUAA